rnacentral:misc_RNA from 1 species
UGGUUCUCGCAUCGAUGAAGAACGCAGCGAAAUGCGAUAAGUAAUGUGAAUUGCAGAAUUCAGUGAAUCAUCGAAUCUUUGAACGCACCUUGCACCUUUUGGCAUUCCGAAAGGUACAUCUGUUUGAGUGUCAUGAAUCCCUCAACCUCUACAUUUCCUUGUGAGAUGUACGAGCGUUGGAUGCUGAGCGCUGCUGUUCUCACAGACAGCUCGCUUCAAAUUGAUCAGCAAUCUCGAUAGUGCUCGGAUUGACCCGACGUGAUAAGAUCUUCGUUGGGAAAUGCUUUCAUUAGCAGCCGGUCUACUACACGAGUGGCUUCUAACACCUGAUCGCGCCUCCUGGCAUGACAGACCCCCUACUUUUAGACCUCAAAUCAGAUGGGACUACCCGCUGA